rnacentral:rRNA from 1 species
GACGAAGGGGGCUAGCGUUGUUCGGAAUUACUGGGCGUAAAGCGCGUGUAGGCGGUUGUCCAAGUUGGAUGUGAAAGCCUUGAGCUCAACUCAAGAAAUGCAUUCAGGACUGGAUGACUAGAGGACCGGAGAGGAUAGUGGAAUUCCCAGUGUAGUGGUGAAAUACGUAGAGAUGUGGAGGAACACCGAUGGCGAAGGCAGCCCCCUGGGCUAACACUGACGCUCAUGCACGAAAGCGUGGGGAGCAAACAGG